AAGGGAAGGCUCCUCCGAGCCAGUGUACAAGCGCAGGCCCCAAACCGCCUUUAAGCUGCUUGGGUUAAAUGCGCUGGUAGUGAGCGUUAGAGGAAAAGGCCAUUUGAAUGGGUCAGGU
rfam:Cyclobacterium lianum strain CGMCC 1.6102 genome assembly, contig: Ga0070154_120